UCUUAGAUUUUCUGGAGACAAACAACUGCGAAAGCAUUUGCCUAAAAUACUUCCAUUAAUCAAGAACGAAAGUUAAGGGAGUGAAGACGAUCAGAUACCGUCGUAAUCUUAACCAUAAACUAUGCCGACUAGGCUUUGGAUGAAAGAUUUUAAAAUAAGAAUUUUCUCUUCGGAGUUUAUUCUUAGAUUGCUUCCUUCAGUGCCUUAUGAGAAAUCAAAGUCUUUGGGUUCUGGGGCGAGUAUUCGCGCAAGCGAGAAAGUUAAAAGAAUUGAAAGGAGGGCA
rnacentral:rRNA from 1 species